rfam:Nitrosomonas eutropha C91, complete genome.
ACCCUUACCCCAUGAUUGCUGACGUUGUCAGCGACAUGCCGGGCAACCAUUGGUCUUUAAGGUUGCGGCGCGACACCUGCCGCGUGACCACACCAGUUCGCACCGCAUCCACGCGCGAACGACUGCCAGUUUUUUCUGGUGGUGAUGC